rnacentral:rRNA from 1 species
UACGGAGGAUCCGAGCGUUAUCCGGAAUUAUUGGGUUUAAAGGGUGCGUAGGCGGCCAUUUAAGUCAGCGGUGAAAUUUUGCAGCUUAACUGUAACAGUGCCGUUGAUACUGUUUGGCUAGGAUUUGGUUGUAGUGUGCGGAAUGUGUGGUGUAGCGGUGAAAUGCUUAGAUAUCACACAGAGCACCGAUUGCGAAGGCAGCACACUAAGUCAUUAUUGACGCUGAGGCACGAAAGUGUGGGGAUCAAACAGGAUUA